rnacentral:rRNA from 1 species
UACGGAGGGAGCUAGCGUUGUUCGGAAUUACUGGGCGUAAAGCGCGCGCAGGCGGUCUUCCAAGUCAGUGGUGAAAGCCCGGAGCUCAACUCCGGAACUGCCAUUGAAACUGUUAGACUUGAGGACGAGAGAGGUGAGUGGAAUUCCCAGUGUAGAGGUGAAAUUCGUAGAUAUUGGGAAGAACACCGGUGGCGAAGGCGGCUCACUGGCUCGUUUCUGACGCUCAGGCGCGACAGCGUGGGGAUCAAACAGG